rnacentral:lncRNA from 1 species
CUGCAUGUAAAUAUAACUGUAGUACGUUAAUAUGUAUAAUAAAUUGUAUUUCACAUUGUGUUUGUUAAAAAAAUUUGAAAUGUUUGUUGAUAUUCGUUGUCCAAUCAGGGUUGAGUGUAUUUUGAGUUGUUCAACGACUUCCGCUUUUUGCACAGCAAACCCGGCACGCGGAUAUACUUUGGCCGAAUUUUGUUAUUCCCUCACGGAUUUCAGAGCGAAUUUAAGCUCUUUGAUUAAAGCAUCGUUGUUUUGAGAGUUUUACUGUAUCAUUCUUGCAGGGGAUAUCGAUUAAUCGUGAAAGAAAUGCAUUAAAAGCGAAAAAUCGAGGAUAGUUUCGUGUGACAUAUGCCAAGUCUGGGCUAUUUUGGUCUCAAUGUCUCCUUCCUUCCCACGUUAUAAGGAAGGCACAG